AAAUGUGAGGGUUAUCUGUUUGCAACAUCUGUCACUCCAUUGAUCACCAGGGUGUCCCCUUCCUCCCUCUCCACUCCAUAUAUAUCCCUCCUGAAGCUAUGCACUCGGUCAAAGAGGAUGACCAUCCCUGAUAGAGGAGGACUGGUCUUCAGUCAAGGGAAUACAAGUUGCUGUGCUUCCCUGCUAGAACCUCCAAACAAGCUCUCAGUUUAGUUCAACAGACAUUUAUUGGAUGUUUCCUGCAUGUCAGGCACUGUUUUAGAUAGCUCAUCUGAAACAGUGGUCUUC
rnacentral:snRNA from 1 species